CAAGUAAACUCUGGGCUCUCUGGUGAUUCAUGAUAACUUCUCGAAUCGCAUGGCCUUGCGCCGGCGAUGGUUCAUUCAAAUUUCUUCCCUAUCAACUUUCGAUGUUUGGGUAGUGGCCAAACAUGGUUGCAACGGGUAACGGAGGGUUAGGGCUCGACCCCGGAGAAGGAGCCUGAGAAACGGCUACUACAUCCAAGGAAGGCAGCAGGCGCGCAAAUUACCCAAUCCCGACACGGGGAGGUAGUGACAAUAAAUACUGAUACAGGGCUCUUUUGGGUCUUGUAAUUGGAAUGAGUACAAUUUAAAUCCCUUAACGAGGAACAAUUGGAGGGCAAGUCUGGUGCCAGCAGCCGCGGUAAUUCCAGCUCCAAUAGCGUAUAUUAAAGUUGUUGUGGUUAAAAAGCUCGUAGUUGAACCUUGGGCCUGGCUGGCCGGUCCGCCUCACCGCGUGCACUGGUCCGGCCGGGCCUUCCCUCUGUGAAGCUUACCCAGGCCGUUAACUCUA
rnacentral:rRNA from 1 species